rnacentral:rRNA from 2 species
UGCAGUCGAGCGCCCGUAGCAAUACGGGAGCGGCGGACGGGUGCGUAACGCGUGGGAACAUGCCCUUUGGUCUGGAAUAACCCAGGGAAACUUGGGCUAAUGCCGGAUAAGCCCGUGGAGCAAUUCAUGGGGAAAGAUUUAUCGCCGAAGGAUUGGCCCGCGUCCGAUUAGCUAGUUGGUGAGGUAACGGCUCACCAAGGCGACGAUCGGUAGCUGGUCUGAGAGGAUGAUCAGCCACACUGGGACUGAGACACGGCCCAGACUCCUACGGGAGGCAGCAGUGGGGAAUAUUGGACAAUGGGCGCAAGCCUGAUCCAGCCAUGCCGCGUGAGUGAUGAAGGCCCUAGGGUUGUAAAGCUCUUUCGUCAGGGACGAUAAUGACGGUACCUGAAGAAGAAGCCCCGGCUAACUUCGUGCCAGCAGCCGCGGUAAUACGAAGGGGGCUAGCGUUGUUCGGAAUCACUGGGCGUAAAGCGCACGUAGGCGGAUUUUUAAGUCAGGGGUGAAAUCCCGAGGCUCAACCUCGGAACUGCCUUUGAUACUGAGGAUCUCGAGUCCGGGAGAGGUGAGUGGAACUGCGAGUGUAGAGGUGAAAUUCGUAGAUAUUCGCAAGAACACCAGUGACGAAGGCGGCUCACUGGCCCGGUACUGACGCUGAGGUGCGAAAGCGUGGGGAAGCAAACAGGAUUAGAUACCCUGGUAGUCCACGCCGUAAACGAUGGAUGCCAGCCGUUGGGCAGCUUGCUGCUCAGUGGCGCAGUUAACGCUUUAAGCAUCCCGCCUGGGGGAGUACGGUCGCAAGAUUAAAACUCAAGGAAUGACGGGGCCCGCACAAGGCGGUGGAGCAUGUGUUUUAUUCAGCACGCGCAGAACUUACUGCUUUGACUGCCUUGACGGGCGCCGGAAACGGC